rnacentral:rRNA from 1 species
CCUACGGAGGCAGCAGUAGGGAAUAUUGCUCAAUUGGGGAAACCCUGAAGCAGCAACGCCGCGUGGAGGAUGAAGUUUUUAGCAUUGUAAACUCCUUUUUUGAGAGAAGAUAAUGACAGUAUCUCACGACUAAUCACCUGCUAACUCCGUGCCAGCAUCCGCUGUAAUACGGAGGGUGCAAGCGUUACUCGGAAUCAUUGGGCGUAAAGAGUGCGCAAGCGGGCUUGUGAGUCAGAUGUGAAAUCCUGUAGCUUAACUACAGAACUGCAUUUGAAACUAGGAGUCUAGAGUGUGGGAGAGGUAGGUGGAAUUCUUGGUGUAGGGGUAAAAGGCGUAGAUAUCAAGAGGAAUACUCAUUGCGAAGGCGACCUACUGGAACAUUACUGACGCUCAUGCACGAAAGCGUGGGGAGCAAACAGGAUUAGAUACCCCAGUAGUC